CCCGCGGUAGCUCAGUGGUAGAGCAUGGUAAUCGGGAAGCCACUAACGCAGGUUUCAUCCCCCCGCGGGA